rnacentral:lncRNA from 1 species
GACAUCUCCUCUAUCUUAUAUUUCACUCAGUUAUUUCAUGUAUUCGAGGCAAAUAGUGUUUUAUUUCUUUCAAAUUGUUGUAUCUAGUACUCUUAGUAGUCCGUAUAUGUUGCGACACCAGUUCUUGGGUAGAGGCAUAUGUUGAUUACCGCAAUAUUGAAUAGCUUAUUUAAUUUAAUCCUUCCGCUUUAAUUUCAUAUCCUGUUGUUAUUGAAAUAUUUAACUCUUGUUGUUAUGAUUCAUAAAAGGAUUUCAAAUAAAAUAGUUAGGAGUUUAUGAUGGCUUGCCUACAUGUAGGCGCCAUCCCAACAUCCGAGGGUGGAAAAUCUAGAUCGUGACAAAGUAAUGCGAAACUUUCAAGUUCGUACAACUAUGAAGUUGUAACCUAGAAUCAACAACAAUAUGCUUCGAUUCCAUUAGCGCAUGACACUUCUGCAAAGUCACUAAAUAGGUUUUCGAUAUGCUGUUCAACCAAACCCAGAAUGGCAGUUCUAUUAAACAAAGGAAAACAGAAACUAAACUAUUUCUCAAGACAUUUAUCAAGAGAGCUGUUGUUCCAAAAAGUUCUUCACAAUCCCUUGUAUGCUGUCCCAUCCAACUAUAAUCUGCCCGAAAAUGUAGAUUUCAGAUGAAUAGAUAGAUCUAAUCAUACGAUCCUAACUUCAAGCAAAAAGAUUCAACAGCACUGCAAGCCUCAAUUAUAACUGCUCAAGGCUAUUUAAGGUAAAUAAACAAUGCAAACCAAUAUAAGUCAAGAUUACUUGUAUCCUGCAACAAGAACACAAUCAUAGACCUUGAUGCUGUUGACGAAGCAAGGUAGUAAAACACAGCAUUUCAUGCAGCUAUCAUAGAAAAAUGUGACUUGCCAAGAGUCGCAAGAAAAUCUCAAUGCGCAUGUACAUCAUCUAAAAUGCACCAAAGAAAUACUUCAUGAUGAACCAAGAUACAAUAACAUUUGGUAUGCCACAUGGGUAAGGCCAAUAAUAAAAAACAUGAACUUUAAUCCAUAAGUGGAAAUCCUUAGUUCUUCUUGAUGAUUGUCCAAAUGUUUGGCUUUGAAAGCUCCUUGAUCCUUCUUGAAGAUUGUCCUUCUU